GACGAACGCUGGCGGCGUGCUUAACACAUGCAAGUCGAACGGAAAGGCCCUGCUUUUGUGGGGUGCUCGAGUGGCGAACGGGUGAGUAACACGUGAGUAACCUGCCCUUGACUUUGGGAUAACUUCUGGAAACUGGGGCUAAUACCGGAUAGGAGCUCCUGCUGCAUGGUGGGGGUUGGAAAGUUUCGGCGGUUGGGGAUGGACUCGCGGCUUAUCAGCUUGUUGGUGGGGUAGUGGCUUACCAAGGCUUUGACGGGUAGCCGGCCUGAGAGGGUGACCGGCCACAUUGGGACGGGGCUACGGCCCAGCCUCCUACGGGAGGCAGAAGAGGGGAGUGUUGCACAAUGGGCGGAAGCCUGAUGCAACAACGCCGCGUGCGGGAUGACGGCCUUCGGGUUGUAAACCGCUUUCGCCUGUGACGAAGCGUGAGUGACGGUAAUGGGUAAAGAAGCACCGGCUAACUACGUG
rnacentral:rRNA from 1 species